UCAACGCCGGUCUGUGGUUGCGGACAACAAUUGUCCUAGCUCAAGGCAGAACGGGUCGAAGGAGUCCACAUAAGUCAGUGGUGGUGGGAGCCCCUGUUGGGGGCGCUAUACCACAGCCGUUGAUGAGCAUGGCCGUUCUUAGGUGUAAGCCCUGCCGGUUGUCUUGAUAGACAAAAUUUUACCGAGACUUGUAAUAGCCAAAAGCAGGCAGCAGGCGAGUGUGGGGUCAAAAACCAGGUCAGCGGCGUUGA
rnacentral:ncRNA from 12 species